AAGACCUCCGUCUUCCUCCUGGUUCCAACUCCAAUUCCCCACCAAAACCCCCAUUCCCGGACCGCACCACCACAUCAUGAAUCCGCCUCCGCCUCCGCAGCCCAGCGAUCCCUCGCCGCCGGCGCUAUUGGACGACCUCAUCAUCGAGAUACUCAUCCGACUCCCGCCGGACGAGCCGGAGCACCUCUUCCACGCCUCCCUCGUCUGCAAACUCUGGAACCACCUCCUCUCCGGCCGCGCCUUCCUCCGCCGCUACGGCGAAUUCCGUCGAGCACCUCCCUUUCUGGGAUUCUUCCAUAACAGGUUCGGCCUCGCCUGCUUCGUCCCCACCACGUCUUUCCGCCUUCCGGACUCCGACCUGGCGAACUGCUCCGUGCUCGACUGUCGCCAUGGCCGCGUUCUCCUCCAGGACUGCAGCUCCAGGGACUUGCUCCAGAUCUGGGACCCCAUGACGGGGGAGAAGCAGCACGUGCGCCUCCCCAGCAUCCCGACCACGACGAGCUUCUACAAAGCGGCGGUGUUCUGCGCCACGCCCGACUGCGACCACCUUAGCUGCCAUGGGGGUCCUUUCCUAGUGGCCUUUGUCACCACCGACCCCCAAGAUGGUGCGCCCGCGCAAGCCUGCCUCUACUCUUCGGAGACUGGUGUAUGGAGUGCGCCGUCCUAUCUGCAGCUCGAUUACUACGUUGAUACGCUGCCCCCUGUGCAAGUAGGAGACACUCUCUACUUCACCUGUGAGUCUAGAGAUAUGAUCCUGUGCUAUGACUUGGGUGGUGAUCGGGACCUAUCAGCGAUCGACGUGCCGGACAUUUAUCAGGAUGGCAUUGCUCUCAUGCUGAUGGAGGACGGUGCACUUGGGUUUGCUGGCCUUCACACAGUCGCCAUCCACCUGUGGUCGCUGAAGAGUCCUGAAAGAGUUGCAGCGUGGGAAAAACAGAGGGUUAUCAAUCUCGAGAUGCUUCCCCAUUGUGACCUGAGAGCGCCAAUGUAUUACUUGCUCGGCAUUGCCCAGGACUGCAUUUCAGAUAACAUUUUUGUAGAAACAGAUGCCGGUGUCUUCAUGAUCGAGCUCAAAUCAGAGCGGGCAGUAAAGGUGUGCGAGAGGGGCUGCUUAUACGUUAUCUUUCCUUACAUAGGCUUUUGCACUCCAGGUCAUGCUAGAAGACUUCCAGUUGCAGCAACUACCCAAUGUUCUGCUAUUGAGCCGCUCAUUGAGAGUACCCAACAAGUUUCAUUGAACUGAAAGAUGCAGGCGUUCUGAUCAAUUAGGAAGCGGGGGGAGAUCUGGAGAUGUUUGCCGCAAGCGCUUGUUUUGGGGAACUAUGGAGAUGUUUGAGUUUCGGUUUCACCCAUCAACUAUAUUACUGUGUCUCAUUUUCGGGGAAAAAAUAAAUCUGGAGUUGUUACAGACGUGAAGUUCUCCCUACUAGAACAUUACAGUACUAGAAUUGCUCUAUUAGAUUAGAAUGUAUUGACCAUCACAGAACAGCAUGCAUUGGAAUUUGGAUCUCAUCGUGCCUAUCCAGUACCCUUUACCUGAUUUGGCUGCCAACCCCUUUGGUAAUAAGGAAAUUAUGACGCGCGACACGCUGCUGCGCAGGCUGCUGCUGUGCGCGAACCGCUGCUGCCGCUGCUGUGCUACCCGGCUGCUGCAUGAGCUAGCUAGCUUCUGCUGCGUUACAUGCUGCUGCCUGCUACUCUAGCUGCAUGUGUGCAUUUUUUUCUAUUUUUUUCUAUGAAAAUUAUAGCGUAAAAUGUACCGCAGGUCCUAUAACUAUUGGAGGUAUGUCAAGUGAGUCCUAAUUCUUUAAAAGUGCAUAUCUGCACCCCAAUUCUUUUUAAGUUGUUCACUCGUGGUCCUAAAUUAGGGCGAGCCGCUGCCGACAGGCCAGGUGGCAAGUUCUGCGCCACGCCCGACUGCGACCACCUUAGCUGCCAUGGAGGUCCUUUCCUAAUUGCCUUUGUCGCCAAGGGUGCGUGCGCCUGCCUCUAUCUUCGGAGACUGGUGUAUGGAGUGCGCCGUCCUAUCUGCGGCUCGGUGACUCCUACCUUGAUAGGCGCCCCGCCGUCCAAGUGGGAGACACACUCUACUUCACCUGUGACUCUAGCGGAAUAAUCCUGCGCUAUGAUUUGGCCAUCCAAGAGACUCUGUACAUCACUUGAUUGGCAUUGCCAAGGGCCGCACUUCCGAUAUCAUUUUUGUGACCACAGAUGUUGGUGUCUUCAUGAUUGAGCUCAAAUCAGAGCGGGCGACAAAGGUGUAUGAUAGGGACGACACCUCCCUCAAUAUCUUUCCUUACAUGAGCUUCUGCACUCCAGGUAGAAUUAUGCUCUUUGGUAAGGAGUUUGCCAUUCGAGAACUCGGGUGCUGGCCCAGUGGUGGGAGCACAUCGUAGUAACAUCUCCAUGCCGGUCUGAGUCCAGAGUUUCAAACCAUGUCGGAGUUAACCUUGCUGGUUAUUCCUUGGUAGAAUAAUUAGUUUCUCUUGUUGGUUCUUUCCGAAUACAAUGCUAAGGAGGUUUUUCCCCUGCUGGUCUUGUUUUUCAUCAAGUGUUUUGCAUUAACCUCUUAUCAGUUCUACUAACAUCUCAGGCCCUCAACUUGUUGCUAUAUGUGGCUAGUUCUAAGAUGGAUGACAGGCCACAUGUUCAAUCAGUUAUGAGUGCGUGCUGUCAGAUAUCUGUUUUCUGUAGACUUAUAAACAAUGAUAUGUGCUCUAGUACUCCUUCGAGCUUGAAUGGUGUUGCCGGUUUGCAUGCUUGCAGUAGUUUGCAAAAUAUUCCUGAUUUACAAAUUACAAACUAGUACCAAAAUUAAAAUAAAAGGGAAUUUGUGCCAGUGUUUCUAGCUGGAGACUUGUUGAUAUUUCUAGUGUGAGUCCAAGCUGCCAACUGGCUGAUAUAAUGCAAAUUCUAGUACCCCCUUCAGGCUUGAGUGGUGUUGCCGGUUUGCAUGCUUGCAGUACUUCGCAAAAUAUUCCUGAUUUACAGAUUACAACUAAGGAGAAGUUCCAAAAUUAAAAUAAAAGGGAGUUUGUGCUAGUGUCUCUUGCAGGAGACUUGUUGAUAUUUCUAGUGUGAGCCAAAGCUGCCGACUGCUCAUAUAAUGCAAGUGCUACUUCCACAGGCUGAACCAGGGAAAGAGGAGAUCACACCGAACUUCAGGCACCACCGAAUCAGUUACUAUUUAUUGGACAAAUUCAAACCACGCUGCACCAAGAUUUGCAAUCCGAGAACAACCAGGGAGAGAUAAAGGAUAGCAGUUUGUGGAGCCUUUCAGUAGUAUACAUAUCCUAAUUUGUUUAGAGUUUAUUUCUUUCCUUUUAUUUUUAUUCUGAAGCCUUUGUCUUUUUUCCCUUUGUUCUACGUGUUUAGCUAGCAUUCCUAAUCUUGGUCUAUUUGGUGUUGCGUCCCUUGAGGCCAGGUUUAAUGCUGAGGUGUGGUUACUACUUCAGGGAGUCUGAACUUUUUUUUGGAAUUUAAUGAAAAAAACGUCUGUCGGGGGCUACCAAAUACUGCAUGUGUUUUCAGGUUUUCCAUCUAAGGUUUCUGGGUGUUGAUGCAAUCUAGGAGUAAUUGUUCCUGUCAUUUGUCUACGAACCUACAUGGUUCGUCUUCUUGGUUGCUGUGAUCUGUUGAGAAUCCGAGAUUACAGACUGGGAGUUCUUUCGGCGCCUUAACUACUUUGGUCUGCUAGACUAGGAUUGCACUAGGUUACCUUAGUUUCAGGAUUCUUUUGUUGGGACAGAAAUUAAUACGUUAAUUUUGUUUGCUGGACCUUGUCUUUGGAGCAACAUACGCACACAUAUAUAUGCUACCUUGUUACUAGCUGCUGCCGUAGUAAACACAUGCUAGUAUUACUGCUUCGUCAUUCAGAAUAAUUUCUAGGUGCUAUAUAUAUGUGCUAUUGAAAGGAGGAUUCAGUGAGCUUGCAUCUGUUGUUUAGUGUACCUUGAAAGAGUGGACAAUCCAGUGACUCAUCACCCGUUUGAGUUCCAUCAAGCGGACAUUGAAUCUCGAGCAACAAACAUGCUGCUCCAGUCUGUUUGAUUGCUAUUGCUUAAUAGUUUUUUUGUGAUAUAUAAAUACCACUGUUGACUUUGCCGUUGGCCUGAACUUCAGUUUUCUUUCCAUGUUGAUCAUCCUUUUGCUAAAUACCUCAUGAGGACUUGUGACGUUAAAUAUGUGAAUCUGGGAAGCAGUUUUGCUUUCCUGGCAUGACAAACUCUUAUGAUUUCAGAAUUGGCGUAUCUCUUGUUUGUGCAAUUGCUGAGUAAUAACAUGUUUAAAUUUUACUCUCUGCAUUUCAGGUCGUGCUAGCAGACUGCCAGCUCCAGCAACGACCCAAUGUUCUACUACUGAGCUGCUCCUUGAGAGGACCUAACAAGAAGGGUGGCAAAAGAAACUUUGGCAGACAUUCUGGUUUGUUCAGACAGACACUAAAAGAAAUAAUCUCUGGGGUUCGUUGAACUGAAAGGUGCAGGCGUUCUGAUCAUUUAAUAAGCUGAUGGUGGUAGUUUACCUGACUGUCGUUUUGGUGGAGAUCUCGAGAUGUUACGCGCAAGCUCUUGUUUUGGGGAAAUAUGGAGAUGUUUGUGUUUCAACCAUGAACUUACCCCGUCUCGUUUUCGGGGAGAUUCUGGGAGUUGUUUCAAACUUUAAGUUCGCCCUACUAGAACAUUACCGUACUAGAAUUGCUCGAUUAGAUCAGUUUGCAUUAACCAUGACAGAACAGCAUGCAUGCUUUAUUCACUUGUAAGACGAUAUGUGGAAUCUCGUGAUAACUUAUUUGGUGGUUCUCUACGGUAUGAGGCACUUACA